UGGGGAAUUUUGGACAAUGGGCGCAACCCUGAUCCAGCAAUGCCGCGUGUGUGAAGAAGGCCUUCGGGUUGUAAAGCACUUUUGUCCGGAAAGAAAACUUCGGUGCUAAUACCCCUGGAGGAUGACGGUACCGGAAGAAUAAGCACCGGCUAACUACGUGCCAGCAGCCGCGGUAAUACGUAGGGUGCGAGCGUUAAUCGGAAUUACUGGGCGUAAAGCGUGCGCAGGCGGUGCUGUAAGACCGAUGUGAAAUCCCCGGGCUUAACCUGGGAACUGCAUGGGUAAUUGCAGCGAUGGAGUAUGGCAGAGGGGGGUGGAAUUCCACGUGUAGCAGUAAAAUGCGUAUAGAUGGGGAGGAACACCGAUGCCGAAGGCAGCGCCCGGGGCCUAUACUGACGCUCAUGCACGAAAGCGUGGGGAGCAAAAAGG
rnacentral:rRNA from 1 species